rnacentral:miRNA from 1 species
CCUCGUUCCAUACAUCAUCUAG